AUGCCUAGACCAAAAGUUGGCGUGCAAAAUGAACAAAAGCUGGAUCAACGGAGAGUAAAGGAUCAAAGUCCAAAAAAAGAAGACCAGAAGUCAAAACAGCAGGAGGAAACAUUAGUAGAGAAGGUGAAGCAGGCAGAUAUAGAGAACGGAGCUGUUCCAACCAUUUCAGAUAGGAGCGAGACCUCCUUAGUUUGGAUGUUGGGCCAUACAUGGUUCUUGAAUUUUGUGAACUUGGCCAGCUCAACUCUUGGUUACAACAACAAAAGAAUAAAGCGAAUGAAGAAACAUCGGAACAGCUUUGCAGAAUAUGCUACGGAAUUGCUGCAUUUAGAAAGUAGAAAACUGGUACACAGGAGACUAGCAGCUAGGAAUGUUCUUCUAACCAGUGAACUAGAGCCUAAAAUUUACGGAUUUUGUCCCAAACAAAAGGAGGCUGAAGGUGAAAACAAAGACGAUGAUGGUGAUCUAAGUUUCCACAUACAGAGUAUGCAUAAAAUAAGCUGUUUUGUGUAUAAAUGCUGUGAAAACUAG
rnacentral:sRNA from 1 species